UGUUCUCCAAGAAUGCAAAGCUUCCUAUCAGAAGAGCAGCAGUCUUAUUUGGCUCUUAUUGAAGUAUGUGGAUCACAGUGAGCUCAGGAUGAAAGGCACUGACUGGAUAGAGAAAGGUGAGUGACAACACACUUGGGUUUGGUUUGGGACAUCUCACAUU
rnacentral:lncRNA from 1 species